rnacentral:rRNA from 1 species
AGUGAACGCUGGCGGUAGGCCUAACACAUGCAAGUCGAACGGCGGCACAGUAAGAGCUUGCUCUUACGGGUGGCGAGUGGCGGACGGGUGAGGAAUACAUCGGAAUCUACUUUUUCGUGGGGGAUAACGUAGGGAAACUUACGCUAAUACCGCAUACGACCUACGGGUGAAAGCAGGGGAUCUUCUGACCUUGCGCGAUUGAAUGAGCCGCUGUCGGAUUAGCUAGUUGGCGGGGUAAAGGCCCACCAAGGCGACGAUCCGUAGCUGGUCUGAGAGGAUGGUCAGCCACACUGGAACUGGGACACGGUCCAGACUCCUACGGGAGGCAGCAGUGGGGAAUAUUGGACAAUGGGCGCAAGCCUGAUCCAGCCAUACCGCGUGGGUGAAGAAGGCCUUCGGGUUGUAAAGCCCUUUUGUUGGGAAAGAAAAGCAGCAGGUUAAUACCCCGCUGUUCUGACGGUACCCAAAGAAUAAGCACCGGCUAACUUCGUG